GCAUCCGUAGCUCAGUUGGUAGAGCCGUUGUCUUAUACACAACUGGUCCUUGGUUCGAGUCCAAGCGGAUGCACAA
rnacentral:tRNA from 1 species